GAUGAACGCUGGCGGUAUGCUUUACACAUGCAAGUCGUACGAGAGUUUUUAACUUAAGUGGCGGACGGGUGAGUAACACGUAAGAAUUUGCCUUUAGGAGGGGGAUAACAACUGGAAACGGUUGCUAAUACCCCAUAUGCUUUCGAGUGAAAUGGAUUUUUUCGCCUAGAGAGAAGCUUGCGGCUGAUUAGCUUGUUGGUAAGGUAAUGGCUUACCAAGGCGACGAUCAGUAUCUGGUUUGAGAGGAUGAUCAGACACACUGGAACUGAGACACGGUCCAGACUCCUACGGGAGGCAGCAGUGGGGAAUUUUCCGCAAUGGGCGAAAGCCUGACGGAGCAAUACCGCGUGAGGGAUGAGGGCCUAUGGGUUGUAAACCUCUUUUUUCAGGGAGGAAAAAAAUGACG
rnacentral:rRNA from 1 species